CUUCAAACAAGGUGGAUACUGAAAGAAAGAGCCUCAAAUCCAAGCCAGCACCAUCAGUGAACGUCAGAGUGUAGUGUGUAAAAUCGGAGUGAACAUUCUAAGAUCUCACUUUGUGAAAACAGACAGCUCAUCAUUACUUCAGCCCAGUAGCCCACUAAUGCAUCAUGCAUGUGAGAGCAGCCUGUGGGAGCAGCAGUUUGAGGACCAUGAGCCACUCUGAGGAAGGGAAGGAUGAGCCAAAAGGAAGAAAUGUUGACUUGCAUAAUUUUACUGUAUGGUUUCUUAAAGAAGAACACAAUUGUGAUUGGGCUCAAAAUGUUAAUUCUAUCCCUCCAAAAGACAAUGAACUGUAAAUAUUU